CACGGGGGGAGCAAGCGUUGUUCGGAAUCACUGGGCGUAAAGGGCGUGUAGGCGGUCAAGUAAGUGGGAUGUGAAAUCCCUCGGCUCACCCGAGGACCUGCAUCCCAAACUGCUUGGCUUGAGUAUGGGAGAGGAUGAGGGAAUUCCUGGUGUAGCGGUGAAAUGCGUAGAUAUCAGGAGGAACACCGGUGGUGUAGACGGCUUUCUGGACCGUAACUGACGCUGAGACACGAAAGCGUGGGUAGCAAACAGG
rnacentral:rRNA from 1 species